GACGAACGCUGGCGGCGUGCUUAACACAUGCAAGUCGAACGGAAAGGCCCUGCUUGCCGGGUACUCGAGUGGCGAACGGGUGAGUAACACGUGGGUGAUCUGCCCUGCACUUCGGGAUAAGCCUGGGAAACUGGGUCUAAUACCGGAUAGGAGCCAUUUUUAGUGUGAUGGUUGGAAAGUUUUUUCGGUGUAGGAUGAGCUCGCGGCCUAUCAGCUUGUUGGUGGGGUAAUGGCCUACCAAGGCGGCGACGGGUAGCCGGCCUGAGAGGGUGGACGGCCACAUUGGGACUGAGAGACGGCCCAGACUCCUACGGGAGGCAGCAGUGGGGAAUAUUGCACAAUGGGCGCAAGCCUGAUGCAGCGACGCCGCGUGGGGGAUGACGGCCUUCGGGUUGUAAACGCCUUUCGCUAGGGACGAAGCUUUUUGUGACGGUACCUAGAGAAGAAGCACCGGCUAACUACGUG
rnacentral:rRNA from 1 species